GAUGAACGCUGGCGGCGUGCCUAAUACAUGCAAGUCGAGCGAACAGACGAGGAGCUUGCUCCUCUGACGUUAGCGGCGGACGGGUGAGUAACACGUGGAUAACCUACCUAUAAGACUGGGAUAACUUCGGGAAACCGGAGCUAAUACCGGAUAAUAUAUUGAACCGCAUGGUUCAAUAGUGAAAGACGGUUUUGCUGUCACUUAUAGAUGGAUCCGCGCCGCAUUAGCUAGUUGGUAAGGUAACGGCUUACCAAGGCAACGAUGCGUAGCCGACCUGAGAGGGUGAUCGGCCACACUGGAACUGAGACACGGUCCAGACUCCUACGGGAGGCAGCAAUAGGGAAUCUUCCGCAAUGGGCGAAAGCCUGACGGAGCAACGCCGCGUGAGUGAUGAAGGUCUUCGGAUCGUAAAACUCUGUUAUUAGGGAAGAACAAAUGUGUAAGUAACUAUGCACGUCUUGACGGUACCUAAUCAGAAAACCACGGCUAACUACGU
rnacentral:rRNA from 1 species